rnacentral:rRNA from 1 species
AUUGAACGCUGGCGGCAGGCCUAACACAUGCAAGUCGAACGAGUGGCGGACGGGUGAGUAAUGUCUGGGAAACUGCCUGAUGGAGGGGGAUAACUACUGGAAACGGUAGCUAAUACCGCCUAACAUCAGCUGUGCCCAGAUAGGAUUAGCUAGUGGGUGGGGUAACGGAUCACCAAGGCGACGAUCACUAGCUGGUCUGCGAGGAUGACCAGCCACACGGGAACUGAGACACGGUCCAGACUCCUACGGGAGGCAGCAGUGGGGAAUAUUGCACAAUGGGCGCAAGCCUGAUGCAGCCAUGCCGCGUGUAUGAAGAAGGCCUUCGGGUUGUAAAGUACUUUCAGCGGGGAGGCGUUACCCGCAGAAGAAGCACCGGCUAACUCCGUGCCAGCAGCCGCGGUAAUUC